rnacentral:rRNA from 1 species
UACGUAGGCAGCAAGCGUUGUUCGGAAUUACUGGGCGUAAAGGGUGUGUAGGUGGCGCCGUAAGUCGGGUGUGAAAUUUCGGAGCUUAACUCCGAAACUGCAUUCGAUACUGCGGUGCUUGAGGACUGGAGAGGAGACUGGAAUUCAUGGUGUAGCAGUGAAAUGCGUAGAGAUCAUGAGGAAGACCAGUGGCGAAGGCGGGUCUCUGGACAGUUCCUGACACUGAGACACGAAGGCCAGGGGAGCAAACGGG